rnacentral:rRNA from 1 species
CUGGCGGCGUGGCUAACACAUGCAAGUCGAACGAGAAAGUGGAGCAAUCCAUGAGUAAAGUGGCGCACGGGUGAGUAACACGUGACUAACCUACCCUUGAGUGGGGGAUAACUGAAGGAAACCUUAGCUAAUACCGCAUAAUACCUACGGGUCAAAGGAGCAAUUCGCUUAAGGAGGGGGUCGCGGCCGAUUAGUUAGUUGGCAGGGUAAUGGCCUACCAAGACGAUGAUCGGUAUCCGGCCUGAGAGGGCGCACGGACACACUGGAACUGAAACACGGUCCAGACUCCUACGGGAGGCAGCAGUGGGGAAUUUUGCGCAAUGGGGGAAACCCUGACGCAGCAACGCCGCGUGGAGGAUGAAGUCCUUCGGGACGUAAACUCCUUUCGAUCGGGACGAUUAUGACGGUACCGGAAGAAGAAGCCCCGGCUAACUUCGUGCCAGCAGCCGCGGUAAUACGAGGGGGGCGAGCGUUGUUCGGAAUUAUUGGGCGUAAAGGGUGCGUANGCGGUUUGGUAAGUCUUAUGUGAAAUCUAUGGGCUCAACUCAUAGUCUGCAUGAGAAACUGCCGGGCUUGAGUAUGGGAGAGGUGAGU